rnacentral:rRNA from 1 species
CCCUUAGAUGUCCUGGGCCGCGCGCGCGUUACACUGAUGCAUUCAACGAGCUUAUAACCUUGGCCGAGAGGCCUGGGCAAUCUUGUUAACGUGCAUCGUGAUAGGGAUAGAUUAUUGAAAUUAUUAAUCUUGAACGAGGAAUCCCUAGUAAACGCAGAUCAUCAAUCUGCAUUGAUUGCGUCCCUGCCCUUUGUACACACCGCCCGUCGCACCUACCGAUUGGAUGGUCCGGUGAAGCCUCGGGAUUGUGGUUCUUGCCGCUUUAUUGUGGCGUGACCGCGAGAACUUGUCUAAACCUUAUCAUCUAGAGGAAGGUGAAGUCGUAACA